UACGAAGGGGGCUAGCGUUGUUCGGAAUUACUGGGCGUAAAGCGCGCGCAGGCGGUCCUUCAAGUCAGAGGUGAAAGCCCAGAGCUCAACUCUGGAACGGCCUUUGAAACUAGAGGACUUGGGUACGGGAGAGGUGAGUGGAAUUCCGAGUGUAGAGGUGAAAUUCGUAGAUAUUCGGAAGAACACCAGUGGCGAAGGCGGCUCUCUGGAACGCAACUGACGCUGAGACGCGAAAGCGUGGGGAGCAAACAGG
rnacentral:rRNA from 1 species